rnacentral:rRNA from 1 species
GGAUGAACGUUGGCGGCGUGCCUAAUACAUGCAAGUCGAACGAAGACUGUAGUAAUACUGUCUUAGUGGCGAACGGGUGAGUAACGCGUGGGUGACCUGCCCCGAAGUGUGGGAUAACAGUUCGAAAGGAUUGCUAAUACUGCAUAAUGUCCAAGAGAUUAGACGCUUUUGGAUUAAAGGAGUAAUUCGCUUCGGGAGGGGCCCGCGUCCCAUCAGCUAGUUGGUAAGGUAAUGGCUUACCAAGGCGAUGACGGGUAGGGGACCUGAGAGGGUGGCCCCCCACAAUGGAACUGAAACACGGUCCAUACACCUACGGGUGGCAGCAGUGGGGAAUAUUGGGCAAUGGGGGAAACCCUGACCCAGCAACGCCGCGUGAGGGAAGAAGGUUUUCGGAUUGUAAACCUCUGUUCUUGGGGAAGAGCAGAAGACGGUACCCAAGGAGGAAGCCCCGGCUAACUACGUGCCAGCAGCCGCGGUAAUACGUAGGGGGCGAGCGUUGUCCGGAAUGAUUGGGCGUAAAGGGCGCGUAGGCGGCUGUGUAGGUCAGUAGUGGAAGUCCAGCUUUUAAGGUUGGAAGUGCUAUUGAAACUGUGCAGCUUGAGUGCAGGAGAGGUUAUCGGAAUUCCCGGUGUAGCGGUGAAAUGCGUAGAGAUCGGGAGGAACACCAGUGGCGAAGGCGGGUAACUGGACUGCAACUGACGCUGAGGCGCGAAAGUGUGGGGAGCAAACAGGAUUAGAUACCCUGGUAGUCCACACUGUAAACGAUGAAUGCUAGGUGUAGGGGGUAUCGACCCCUUCUGUGCCGGAGUAAACACAAUAAGCAUUCCGCCUGGGGAGUACGGUCGCAAGAUUAAAACUCAAAGGAAUUGACGGGGGCCCGCACAAGCAGCGGAGCAUGUGGUUUAAUUCGAAGCAACGCGAAGAACCUUACCAGGUCUUGACAUCCAGGUAAAGCUGCAGAGAUGCAGUGUGUGCUUGCACAAUCUGAGACAGGUGGUGCAUGGUUGUCGUCAGCUCGUGUCGUGAGAUGUUGGGUUAAGUCCCGCAACGAGCGCAACCCUUGCCGGCAGUUACUAACAGGUGAAGCUGAGGACUCUGCUGGGACCGCCGGGGACAACUCGGAGGAAGGUGGGGACGACGUCAAAUCAUCAUGCCCCUUAUGACCUGGGCUACACACGUGCUACAAUGGCCGAGACAGAGAGCAGCGAGGGCGCAAGCCGGAGCGAAUCUCAAAAAAGCGGUCACAGUUCGGAUUGUGGGCUGCAACCCGCCCACAUGAAGCAGGAGUUGCUAGUAAUCGCGAAUCAGCAUGUCGCGGUGAAUACGUUCCCGGGCCU